GUGCUCACUUCAGCAGCACAUAAACUAAAAAUUUGGAAUGAUACAGAGAAGAUUAACAUGGCCCCUGUGCAAGGAUGCUAUGCAAAUUCAUGAAGCAUUCCAUAAAUAA